GAUGAACGCUGGCGGCGUGCUUAACACAUGCAAGUCGAACGGAAAGGCUCCUGCUUGCAGGGGUACUCGAGUGGCGAACGGGUGAGUAACACGUGGGUGAUCUGCCCUGCACUUCGGGAUAAGCUUGGGAAACUGGGUCUAAUACCGGAUAGGACGAUGGUUUGGAUGCCAUUGUGGAAAGUUUUUCGGUGUGGGAUGAGCUCGCGGCCUAUCAGCUUGUUGGUGGGGUAAUGGCCUACCAAGGCGUCGACGGGUAGCCGGCCUGAGAGGGUGUACGGCCACAUUGGGACUGAGAUACGGCCCAGACUCCUACGGGAGGCAGCAGUGGGGAAUAUUGCACAAUGGGCGCAAGCCUGAUGCAGCGACGCCGCGUGGGGGAUGACGGCCUUCGGGUUGUAAACUCCUUUCGCUAGGGACGAAGCGCAAGUGACGGUACCUGGAGAAGAAGCACCGGCUAACUACGUG
rnacentral:rRNA from 1 species